rnacentral:rRNA from 1 species
GAUGAACGCUGGCGGCGUGCUUAACACAUGCAAGUCGAACGAAGCACUUUGAAAGCUUGCUUUUAGAGUGACUGAGUGGCGGACGGGUGAGUAACGCGUGGGUAACCUGCCUUAUACAGGGGGAUAACAGUUGGAAACGACUGCUAAUACCGCAUAAGCGCACAGUGCCGCAUGGCACAGUGUGAAAAACUCCGGUGGUAUAAGAUGGACCCGCGUCUGAUUAGCUAGUUGGUGAGGUAACGGCUCACCAAGGCGACGAUCAGUAGCCGGCUUGAGAGAGUGAUCGGCCACAUUGGGACUGAGACACGGCCCAAACUCCUACGGGAGGCAG